rnacentral:tRNA from 1 species
GCCAGAGCGACAUAGUGGUUUGAAUGUUAGACUAUGACUCUGGAGACCAGGGUUCAAUUCCCAGCUCAGUCA